rnacentral:rRNA from 1 species
UACGUAGGCAGCAAGCGUUGUUCGGAAUUACUGGGCGUAAAGCGUGCGCAGGCGGUUUUGUAAGACUGUUGUGAAAUCCCCGGGCUCAACCUGGGAACUGCAUCUGUGACUGCAUCGCUGGAGUGCGGCAGAGGGGGAUGGAAUUCCGCGUGUAGCAGUGAAAUGCGUAGAUAUGCGGAGGAACACCGAUGGCGAAGGCAAUCCCCUGGGCCUGCACUGACGCUCAUGCACGAAAGCGUGGGGAGCAAACAGG